rnacentral:misc_RNA from 1 species
CAAGUGACCCCGGUCUAACCACCGGGAUGUUCAUAACCCUUUGUUGUCCGACUCUGUUGCCUCCGGGGCGACCCUGCCCUCGGGCGGGGGCUCCGGGUGGACACUUCAAACUCUUGCGUAACUUUGCAGUCUGAGUAAACUUAAUUAAUAAAUUA